UUAUUCAAAGAAAAUAACAAACAAAAGAAAAGAGGUAGCACCAAGCUUACCCCGGCUCACACUAUCACAGUCUGGCCCUUACUUCCUCUCUCCCAUCCUCCUUAUGCUACCACAAGAUACCAACUGCUACAUCUCUAAUGAAAACUAUUUUUCCUAAUUAUUCAUCCAUUUUACCUACUGAACUACAUUUUCAACAGUCAUUUAUUCCUGUUUACACUAUAAACUA
rnacentral:lncRNA from 1 species